CAGCAGCCGCGGGAAAACCGAGGGUGCAAGCGUUAAUCGGAAUUACUGGGCGUAAAGCGCGCGUAGGUGGUUUGUUAAGUUGGAUGUGAAAUCCCCGGGCUCAACCUGGGAACUGCAUCCCAAACUGGCAGGCUAGAGUAGGGCAGAGGGUGGUGGAAUUUCCUGUGUAGCGGUGAAAUGCGUAGAUAUAGGAAGGAACACCAGUGGCGAAGGCGACCACCUGGGCUCAUACUGACACUGAGGUGCGAAAGCGUGGGGAGCAAACAGGAUUAGAUACCCCGGUAGUCCCUGUCUCUUAUAU
rnacentral:rRNA from 1 species